CAAGGAACGAUAUCAUGAUAUAGUGAUCAAACGUAAUUUGUACCUUGAAACCGACACCAUCCGAUUCGACAAAUGGGGCGGUACGUUCGACAGCACUGUCAAAGUAGCGUACGACUCGGAUUGCACUAUGUCGACAAAGAUGUGUUGGUCUUUCCAAAACCAUAACUUCACGGGCGGCUACGUCAUCUUCGACGUCCACUUUCACUACCUGUGUUCAGCACCACCAGCAUUCGUAGAUUCCAAGGGUGACUUCGGCGUUGUGAAGCGGGCAAAAGUUAAUAUGAACAAGAACUACCAGGGGAUAAAGUGCGGGGACUCGUGCUCAUAACCUCAUGUGAAGAAUGUGAUUACCGUUUGGAUGCGGAGUAUUGUUUACAUGGCCGUGAAGCAAUCUGAUGUGAUAUGAUGCAAUAUAUGAUGUUCCAUCCAUGA